GCAUUAAUGGGGUAGUGGUAACCUGGGUCGUUGCCAUUCGUACUAAUGCUCGACCCGCCGGGGGUUCGAUUCCCCCUUAAUGCA